rnacentral:rRNA from 1 species
CGUGUAGGUGGUUCUGUAAGUAGGGCGUGAAAGCUCCCGGCUCAACUGGGAGAGGCCGUUCUAAACUACAGAACUAGAGGAUGGUAGAGGGAGGUGGAAUUCCAGGUGUAGCGGUGGAAUGCGCAGAUAUCUGGAGGAACACCAGUGGCGAAGGCGGCCUCCUGGACCAUUCCUGACACUCAGACGCGAAAGCUAGGGUAGCAAACG